rnacentral:rRNA from 1 species
GAUGAACGCUGGCGGCGUGCCUAACACAUGCAAGUCGAGCGAACGGACCAUAAGCUUGCGUCUUUGAUGUUAGCGGCGGACGGGUGAGUAACACGUGGAUCACCUACUUAUAUGUCUGGGAUAAUUUCGGGAAACCGUAUCUAAUACCGGAGAAUAUUUUGAACCGCAGGGUUCAAAAGUGAAAGACGGUCUUGCUGUCACUUAUAGACGGUUCCGCGCUGCAUGAGCUAGUUGGUAAGGUAACGGCUUACCAAGGCAACGAUGCAUAGCCGACCUGAGAGGGGGUUCGGCCACACGGGAACUGAGACGCGGCCCAGGCUCCGAGGGGAGGCAGCGGGAGGGAAUCUUGCGAAAGGGGCGAAAGCCUGACGGAGCAACGCCGGGUGAGUGAUGAAGCGCUUCGGAUCGUAAAACUCUGUUAUUAGGGAAGAACAUAUGUGUAUGUAACUGUGCACAUCUUGACGGUACCUAAGCAGAAAGCCACGGCUAACUCCGG